rnacentral:lncRNA from 1 species
AGUCGGAGAAAAUCCUCCCGAUCAAUGAUAUCGAUCUGACUGUGCUCGUUAGGGCCAAUUUUUUGAUUGCUCCAGGAUGAAGGAAAGCCCCAAAAAGAUGAAAAAGAAAUGAAGAAAAAUUAAUUUUUUCAUCCAUAAAUGGAUGAUGGAAGACUAGAAAUGAAAGAUAGAUCCUUCCUCGGGUUGAAAAAUUAUCAAUCCUUGGCUUUUGGAUGAGGACAAAGGAUGAAGAAAGCUCGAAAAAGAGAAGGACGAGGG